CAGUAGCCGCGGGAAUACGGAGGGAGCUAGCGUUGUUCGGAAUUACUGGGCGUAAAGCGCGCGUAGGCGGUUACUCAAGUCAGAGGUGAAAGCCCGGGGCUCAACCCCGGAACUGCCUUUGAAACUAGGUGACUAGAAUCUUGGAGAGGUCAGUGGAAUUCCGAGUGUAGAGGUGAAAUUCGCAGAUAUUCGGAAGAACACCAGUGGCGAAGGCGACUGACUGGACAAGUAUUGACGCUGAGGUGCGAAAGCGUGGGGAGCAAACAGGAUUAGAUACCCGAGUAGUCCCUGUCUCUUAUAC
rnacentral:rRNA from 1 species